UCUCCCCUGGCGCAGAAGGGCGUGGGCGUUCUCCUACAAACCCCCAAAACAAUGGGCACCCUCGGGAAACUGAACGCUGGUCUAUGAUCCGUCUAAGGUCCGCUGUCUGAACAAUGGCCUUUAUAGCUUUUUUCCCCAUACGGGAGCCAAUUCAAGAUUCGCGCAUGCGUUCGUUUGUAUCUGUUUAUCCCUUUAAGAAAGAGUUCUCUGUCCUUUUUGUUUUUUCUUUCAUCACACUGACGUUUUUGAAGCAUUCAAGCCAGCAGUCUGGGAGAAAGCCCCUCCACGGGGAUCUUUCUGGAGGUCCUUGGAUGGUUUCAGGCUGAGCAUUUGGGGCAACGACACGAGACAGUGGACUGCGCCCUCCUCGCUGCGCCCGUCAGCGCGGCCGGAUCCCUUGGGGGCCUCGCGGUACUGCGUAGAGGCCCUUUUUCUCUUUGUAAGGAUAAGUAGCCCGCGGGGAGAUAACUUCGAGACAUCCCGUUCCCGGCAAUCUCACACUCCAGGGUUUUCACAUCCACUGGUGACGUCUGCCUAAAUCAAACAUGACUACAACGGCUGCAACUGAAGAUUUUCUAAUUCUUCCCUUGCCUCUCAGACCCUCUCCCAUCUCGGGCCCCCACCAUGUUUUCUUUUUUUUUUUUUAGUUUAUUUAUUUAUUUGGGGUGGGGGGAGACAGAGAGAGAUUGAGAGAGAACCCCCAGCAGGCGCAGAGCCUGACGCGGGGCUCAAACCCACACACCGUGAGAUCAUGACCUGAGCUGAAGUUGGACACUUAACCAACACCCAGGAGCACUCCCUCCCCCCCACCAUGUUUCUAAGUCCACGCGUAGGACCCAGCACUGCCACAGGUGGUCUCCUGCACACCGUCUCCUCCGUGGGCCCCAGGACCCCGUGUUCUGCGGCUUCCCCCGCAGCUUUCGGCUCCCUUGCCUGCCUCCUGCUCACGUUUAUCCGCAUCCCAUACCCCCGGGGACUCAGCCAGUCUCGUGACCCAAAAAGCCAUCUACGUGCCGAGGGCUCCCGGAGGUAAAUCUUCAGUCAGGUCCUCACCCAGGACACCAGACCAACCUUCUCCAUGCCCCCCUUGGGUUCCGAGAAGCGCCUCCCACUACCCACGUCCUCUGGUGUGCUGCCGGACUGCCCCCUGCAGCUCCCUGCACCUCAGUCCAUGGCAGUGCCUGCCAGCUGUGUGGGCGUAUGGGCUGAAUUGCGUCCCUCAGACAGGUCAAGGCCUAACCCCGGGUCCCUCAGGGUGUGACCUUAUUUAGAAAUGGGGUUAUUGCAGAUGCCUUUAGUUAAGACGAGGUCAUGCUGGAGUGUGUCACCAAGUGGCGUAUGGGGUAAUCCUGUGACUGGGGUCCUCACACAAGAAGAGGAGAGACAGAAACAGGGACACGUGGGAAUGAGGCAACCGGCUUAGACUACACUGUGUGGCUCUCCGUAGGUGGAGAAUAAACUUCCCACGCAAUCGGGGUUCGCUGUCACCGCAGCUCCAGGGAACGAAUACAUUAGGCCCAAAUCCCUGGGGUCACCUCUGACCGUUCUGUUACACCCCCAUCCAGUCGAUGGGAUGAUGGGACAACGCUUGCGGCUCUCCCUUCAAUAGGGGUGGCUUCAACCCGGCCAGGCUCAUUAGCCCACUGCUGCCCCCUGGUGGCCAUCCCGGUCACCUCCCAGUGGGAUUCCAACAGUGACCUCAUAACCGGUCUCCCUGCUUCCACCUGCCCUGAGCAUCAUCUCCGUGAGCAGCCAGAGUGGCCCCUGUUCAACCAGGAGUCACAUUCACCUCCUCAGAACCCUCAACGGCUUCCCAUCUCACUCCAGGAAAGGGCAGAGUCCCGCAUGGUGACUGCAGGGGCCCUCCUGCCCUGCCUUGCCCUCCUGCCACCCUGCUCCACCCACCGCCCCCUGGCGACCCCGACUCGCUGCCUCUGAGCCCUGACCAUCUGCCACUCCCUCGGCUGGAAUGCUCUUGCUCUCUCUCUCUCUCUCUCUCAAAAAUAAAUAAACUUAAAAAACAACAACAACGCUUUAAAGUCAGUGCUGCUCCACACUCUCUGUCCCCUCGGUGUCCUUUCCGCGGUGGACCAGCCUGUUUCACUUUGGUGCCUCUCCAGCUCGCCAGCCCUGCAAGGACAGUGAUUUUAGUCUGUCCGACUCACUGCCCUAGCUCAGGUCCUAGCCACUCAGUGAAUACUUGUUCGGUCUACUAAUCAGGGUGAUGCAGGGUCACUGAAGAGUUUUGUCUGGGGAGAGCCCCAUCAGAGAUUUUCAAGGUGACAGACAGGGUGAGGACAGACAGCAGAGAAAGUAAUCAAAGGGAGGAAGAACAAGUCUGAUCGCUGUAACUCGGGGUCACCGUGUGCCUGGGGCCGCACAGAGGGCCCCUCACCCGAGGAGGCAGGAGCUACGACUGCCCCUAUUUUACAGAGGAGGAAAGUGGGACUCAGGGAGGUUUCGAGUAACUUGUUGGGCGUCACACAGCCAGCGGAGCCGGGACUUGAACCCAGCGUGUGUAGCUCCAGCGCCUAGAUGUCCAGCAUAUUCAUACCGUCUAUCUCUUGGGUGGCUAGGAAGGGAGAGAGGAGCGGGGGAAGCCGGCCCGGGGGCAGCAGUCGGGCGGCCAGUGGGGGAGUGCUAUAGAGAGAAGAGGGAAGCAGUCAUAGUUUGAUGCUGCCUGUUUGGGCUCCUGUGUCCUCCUAGGCCUCCGUCAGAGAGAAAACAAAACAAAACAAGAACACCCAAAAACGUGGGCAGAGAAACGACAGCCAGCAGGGGGCAGACUGGGGACUCCUCUGGCUCCAGGGGGUCUGACGUUUCCAGGGCUGGGCCCUGGGUGAGCGGCGGGGCGUGGACAUGAUGGCCCAGACUCCCGAUGGCAGCCUGAGCGCCACAUGCGCCCAACUCCCACGCCCUUCUCAGCGGUCUUCAAGUGUGUCCGUGGGGCUUUGGGCAGGGGUGAGGGGCGCCCCUCAGCCAGCGCAGCUGUUUCUACCUUCACUUCACCUACUCCCAAACAGUGUGAAAAACCGCUAUCCUCCGCCAUGGCUCUGCCUGCAAGGCUGACAGACAUCAGCCCUGGCUUGGCAGAUUCUGGGCCCCCCUCCCCCGGCCCCUCCCCCCACCAGCUGCAAGCAUCUCCUCUUGACAAUGACUCAGGGGAAGACACCCACCCCACUUCAGCCCCUUCUUCCCGAGGAGCCCCGCAGUCUGCCAGCCAGGCGGCCAUCCCCCGCCUCUGCAUCCAGCCUGGCAGCCGGCCUGGCACAGAUGGCCCCUCCCACCCCUUCCAGGCCUCUUGUGAUUUCCCCGCUGGCUUCAUUUUGCUGGCGCCCAGGCACAGAGCGGUGGGACUGCGGACCUGCGGGUUACCCAGGCCCUAGUCUCAUAGUGGGUGGGAGGUGACAUGGCAGGGGCCAUGCUAGGUUCGAAGGGUCCUGCGGAGGGCCUCCGGGACCCCUCCAGCCCAAGUCCCUGGCUCUCUGCCACAAUCCUGUUUUUAAACCAACCUAAUGUACGGGCAGCAGAUUGUACACAGAGUCACUCCCGAUAGCAGAUUCAGCAUUCCACAAACAUUUAUUGAGCACCUACUAGGCGCCCGCCCUGUGGAGGCACUGGUCUCCCUGAGGCGCUCAGGAGGACUCACUUCCCAGCUCUGUGCUGGGCUCUGGUGAACACCACCACCGCUCCUCCUCCCAUUACUACCCGUAACUACUACCACUACUAAUGGUGACAGGAGCCAGUGCCCCUCCACCGUGGUGACCUCUUCUGCUUCCAUCCCCCCAGCGGCCCCCAGGCUCAGGGACAGCAGGGGCAUGUGAAGGUCAGGCCCAGGAUCUGAACCAGGUGGGUGUUUCUUUACUUAAUUCAACGAGUCUGGUUGAUGACGGCUUCCAGGAGCCCCCAGAGAGAACCACAAGCCCAACUGGGAGGCUCAGACUGGGGUGGGCAGAGGCCCCUUGCUCUGACUCUGCUCCCCCACCCCUUCUCCUACCUCCAUCCCCAAGCUGCUGGAUGUCCGCAGCUCCCUCUGGGAGCGAGGGUCUCCCCUGCGCUAAAACAGGGCAGCCCCUUCCCAAAGCCAGACUCUUGGACCUUCUCUCAGACCGAGGUGCCUAUUCUCCACCUCCUUGUUGCCCACCACGGCCACCCUCUGAGAGCGGCACCACCCCUGCCAGUGGGGGAGGGGCAGCAGGGUCCAAGGAAAAAAGUUCCCGGGACUCAACCCACCGAGAGGAGAGCCCACCGGAUGGAACAGCCGGAUCACCCAGCACCUCCAAAGGCAGCGAAUGGACCCCAGCUUUACGAAUAACAGAGGGGGCCCGUUGGGGAGCACGGUGGGGAUGGGGCACCAGAAGUCAGACUUCCCCACUCACACACCAGCCAGAGGCUGGAGCGGGGAUGGGGGGAGGGUGGGCAGGGCCUGGACGGAGGAAGGACAGGGAGCUGGGGCCCCAGCGCAGGGCCUGGCACCCACAGGCUGACAGCUGAGCACUCCCAAAUGCCAGGCCUGUGCCAGUAUCCUGUUCACUGCUCUCAAAGGAAGAGGCACGGCUACCAUCUCCACUUAACAGAUGGGGACACUGAGGCUUGGAAAAGAAUGGGGUGCUCACAACCUGUACACUGGGGAGCAGCUUCAGCUGUUGGAAACUUCCCAUCCUGCCUGGGCCCUUGGAGCCAAGCAGAAAAAGUCACCUCCCUUUCCUCCUGAUAGCUCCUUAGAAAUGGGAGGCUCUGAGGACAGACAGAUCUGGUUUAAGUCCUGGCCUUGCCUUGGAUGUCCGCUCCAGGAGGUCCUGGGCCUAGAAGUGGGCCCUGCACAGCAGACGAUACAAGCUCAUUUGGUGAACGAAUGAAUGACAUCAUCUCCUUUAAAAAGCUAGUCCUGGGGCACCUGGGUGGCUCAGUUGGUUGGGCGUCCGACUUCAGCUCAGGUCAUGAUCUCACAGCUCGUGAGUUCGAGCCCCACGUCGGGCUC